UGUCUUCGGGGUAGGGUGAAAUUCCCAAUCGGCGGUAUAGUCCGCGAGCGCUUAAACGCGCAGGUGCUUAGGCACGGGAGCCGGUGAAAUUCCGGCGCCGACAGUUACAGUCUGGAUGAAAGAAGGCU
rnacentral:ncRNA from 1 species